UGGCGUUGAACGUCAGGUUGUUCAUGGUGAGCGUUUUCUCUGCGUGCUGCUGGAGUCUCUGCUCAGCCACGGUCAACUCCUCCGUAUCGAACUCACCAAGCUGCUGAGAUAACUCCUCACUCCACGACUCCAGCUGAAAACCUGACAGAAACAGUACACCGUCAUAAUGACCAGACCUGAACCAGGACAACCACCAUUAACAAAACGAGGGUGAAAGAAGAUACCUCAGAGUAUGCGGCGGUGAUGUGCUCGUAGAGCCCCUGGUGGUGGUGAAUGGUAUCCUCCAGGUCCUGGAGCUCCGAGGGCAGUUCACCAUCACCACAUGCUUUACACCACGACUCCACAUUACUCAGGAAGCAGAACAGAAAACGCAUCAAGCUAAUGAUGGUGCUGGAAACAAGCAAUUACUGUUGAAAGAGGAUGAGGAUGAUAAAAGACCAGACCUGAUAGCAGUGCUCUCGUUUUCUCUCCUUCUGAAGACUCAAUCACACACCAACAACAAAGGGCUUUUACGUUUUACUACAAACAGAAAAUAUUCUCUCUCUACAUGCCUGAUGACUGAAACAAUAAAAUCUUAUGUGGUUUCAGGGCGACCUAUAUUCUCUGAAUGUGCAAAAGUUUACGCUCCCUUUAAGACCAAAUGCGGACCAUGUGAACCAACAAAAACCAACAAAAAACAAAGAGAUUUUUCUUCUCCUUCUUUCUGGGUGUCCACCUUUAUGAGGUUCUUCUCCAAACUUUUGGCACAAAAUUGGAGACACACAAUUGUAUCGGAGGUCUUUGGAUGGUGUGGCAGGAGAUUUCACUUGAACUUGGAGACCCAAACCUGCGUUGGAAGAUGUGGAAGAUCUCCUGCUAUAGAGCUCUGAACACCUUUAGGAUGAAUGUGAACGCUGACUGCACC